rnacentral:rRNA from 1 species
GUCUGGUUGAUUCCGAUAACGAACGAGACUCUCCCUGCUAACUAGUCGGUUGGAUCUUGCUCGGUGAGUUCGUGCACCGGUGGUGCUCGACGGCUCGGUAAGUUUCGGGUGUGCGUUGUGUGUGGUGCAGUUAACGCUGUGUCGCGCCCGUGCGCUUGGAGCCCCGGUCGUUGGAGGCCUCGGAUCGUACACUCCAAGUCCGCCGCUUAUGAUAUAAUUCUUCUUAGAGGGAUUCACGGCUCUGAAGCCGUCAGAGACUGAGAGCAAUAACAGGUCUGUGAUGCCCUUAGAUGCUCUGGGCCGCACGCGCGCUACAAUGCCGGGCACAGCAGGUUCUUUUCCUGCUCCGAGAGGAGCGGGCAACCCUCUGAAAGCCCUUGAUUACACUCGUUUUAAGUAACGAAUGGCGUGCUUGGGCCUGGGGCUUGCAAUUAUUCCCCACAAACGAGGAAUGCCUAGUAGCGGCGAGUCACUGAGCUCGCUGUGACUCAGUCCCUGCCCUUUGUACACACCGCCCGUCGCUACUACCGAUUGGGUGUACCAGUGAGAGCCUUGGGACUGGCGGCCGUUGCCUUCGGGCAAGCGGGAUUCGACGGAAAGAGGUCCGAACUGGGUGCACUUUAGAGGAAGUAAAAGUCGUAA